GUCUGCGGCGGAUGCUAGCUGGCUUCAGUGUCAAACCGCGGUCAUGAGCGUGGCUGGCUGUGGGCAGCUGGUGGAGAACCAGGCCCCAGGGGAGUACUUUGGAUUUGACCUGAGAGGUGAUGAGAAAUCACUCUCUCCAGCCUUCAGUACUGUGGAAGUCAUGGCAUCCGCUCUGGAGACCACGGUCGAAUCUUCGUUUGUUGGGGGCUUCACGUGGCCUGCCUGGGGGAGGGGGUCAACGACAGAAGUGUGUACAUUCACCCCACACACCACCUGGAGACUCAGGUAGGCAGCAGCAUGGAGCUCUCUGUGCUUUGCUUUGUUCCCGACCCUCGUGCAAGAAGCGAAAGAGGCUUCGGCACAAACCGAUCACCACAGUGGGAAAGAUGUAGAUGAAACUCAUAAAGGAGAAGUCACAGUAUAUCCACUGGAGAAAGAGACCAAGAAGGAAAGGAUUUAUCCCCAAACCUGGAGCUCCCUGGGUGACAAGGGUCCUGUUUGCAUUCAGGCUGCUACAACAAAGUACCAUCGACUGGGUGGCUUACAAACAGCAGAAAUCUAUUUCUCACCAUUUUGGAGGCUGGUGGCAAACUUGGGGACUGGUGACGAACCUCUUCCUGGUUUAGGACUCACGUGUUUUUGCGACAGCCUUGCAUGGUGGAAGCAACAAGGGAGUUCUCUGCCCUCCUGCCCUAAUCACCUCCUAAAAGCCCCGCCUCCAGAGAUCAUCACACAGGGGAGUGGGUUUCAAUGUAUGAAUUUGAGGGGGACACAAACAUUCAGCCUAUAGCAGGUCCCGACCUCCCACCCCCAGCCCUCAUCAAUGAACGGCACCACCAUCGGCCUAACUGUGCCGGCCAAAAACCCAUCCUUGACUUCUUUCUCCCUUCCUUUUACCCUCCACAUUCAAGUCCACCAGCAAGUUCACCAGUAGCUGUGCAAUAGAUCUCACGUAUCCGUGUCUCAUCCUCGUCCCUGCUACCACCCUAAAACAGAAGGUCAUCUCUCACCCAGAUUAUUCAAGGGGCCUCCUAACAGUCUCUCUGCUUUGGAUCGUGCAUGUGGCCAGUCUAUUCUCCACGAGCAGCCAGAGUGAUCUUGUUAAGUUGGCUCAAGAGGGACAAACCAUGUGCAUGACCCUAAACUGACGAUCGCCUGCUGCUGUUUGCCAGCUGUCUGGAGGGUUUUUAAAAAUUCAUGUUUUAAAAUGUCUCAUGCCUAAUUAAUAAAUGAAUAUGAAAGAUAAAAAUAAAAUUUGUCAAUAAACCUGAAUAAAAUAAAA